rnacentral:rRNA from 1 species
CAGUCGCCGCGGGAAAACGAAGGGUGCAAGCGUUACUCGGAAUUACUGGGCGUAAAGCGUGCGUAGGUGGUGGUUUAAGUCCGUUGUGAAAGCCCUGGGCUCAACCUGGGAAUUGCAGUGGAUACUGGGUCACUAGAGUGUGGUAGAGGAUAGUGGAAUUUCCGGUGUAGCAGUGAAAUGCGUAGAGAUUGGAAGGAACAUCUGUGGCGAAGGCGACUAUCUGGGCCAACACUGACACUGAGGCACGAAAGCGUGGGGAGCAAACAGGAUUAGAUACCCCCGUAGUCCCUGUCUCUUAUAC